rnacentral:rRNA from 1 species
AUCGAACGCUGGCGGCAUGCCUAACACAUGCAGGUCGAACGGCAGCAUGAAAUGGGGUAACCCAUUUUGAUGGCGAGUGGCGGACGGGUGAGUAAUAUGUAGGAAUCUACCUAGAGGUGCGGGAUAACUUAGGGAAACUUAAGCUAAUACCACAUAAGCCCUACGGGGGAAAGCAGGGGACCGCAAGGCCUUGCGCCUUAUGAUGAGCCUACAUCGGAUUAGCUUGUUGGGGGGGUAAAGGCCUACCAAGGGGACGAUCCGUAGCUGGUCUGAGAGGAUGAUCAGCCACACUGGGACUGAGACACGGCCCAGACUCCUACGGGAGGCAGCAGUGGGGAAUAUUGGACAAUGGGCGCAAGCCUGAUCCAGCAAGCCGCGUGUGUGAAGAAGGCCUUAGGGUUGUAAAGCACUUUCAGUGGGGAGGAAGUUGAGUUUGCUAAUACCAGAUUCAAUUGACGUUACCCACAGAAGAAGCACCGGCUAACUCUGUGCCAGCAGCCGCCGCCG